rnacentral:tRNA from 1 species
GGGCCCGAAGUUUACCCGGUUUGAACGCAUCAUUUGCAAUGAUGAGGCAGGGAGUUCGACUCUCCCCGGGUCCACCA